AUAUUACAUUAAAUAUCUCAAUUUUUUUUAAGGCCAAUGGAAAACCAGAAACCUUCCGCUUUAGCAAAGAAUCAGAAGAGAGGAGGGAACUUUAGAAAUAGCCCCUCUCACACUUUCCAGAUGUUGAAACAGAGCCCGGCAGAGGGCGCGAGUCGCCCCUAGCGAGGAGCACGGUGGUAGUGCCCCUAGCCGCACAGCGCUGGAGCCUGGGCCAGAGCCCCUUUCCGCCCAGGAAGCACUGAUUUGUUGUUAUGGAGGAUGUUCCUGCCCACAUCCGUUAGAGACGGGAUGCCAGAGUCUUUAAAACCACGAACCGCACCACAGGGGGAUAUGGAAAACAGGCCGCAUCCGGGACAAGAAACGCCCAGUCACAGCACCGACUGCGACUGUGACGUGGGGAGAGCAGCAGAGGCGCUGACGCGGCCUGGGUAUUAAUCUGGAGAUGAUCCCAGCUCUCCAGUUCCGGCAGGAACCUGGGAACCCAACAGCUGGGCAGAGCAGCUGUGUGGGUCGGGAGCGUUCAGCUGGGCUCUCAUUGAAAGCACUUGUGCUGGCUGCCUGCUAAAAGCAAGAUGGACCGUGGCUGAGUUCAGAUGCUCAGGUGCUCUCAUGGCGCUCUCCCUCCCGCGUCCCUCCCCCACAGCCCUGGACACCCACCAUGCAGUGACACCUGCACAAAGACCGCUCCCCUCUCCCCGGGUCCCGGGCGACACCCGUGAACCACUCCUGAAUCCCGUGGGCUGCGAGCAGAGAGCAUUCCACGGGAAAACUGGGAGGAGGCCACCCAAAGGCGGGGAGAGAAUGCUGGGCACGCCAAGACGACAGAUGUCCACGCAGGGACAGCCGUGCAAGAAAAGCUGCGCACAUGUUCUUGUGUCUGUUCCAAAACCAAACCUCAGUGGCUCUGGCCGAUCCAUUGUUUCAGUGUGACUCCCUGUAAUUAACACAGGAGGGCGAACCACAUCAGCCAUUUUGGCAGUCCCCUCAAGACCCCCUCCCACAGCUAGACCACCUGCAUGUCUGGUCACUCAGGCAGCCGACCAGUCUUGCUGAGGAGCCGUUAGACCAGACGCUGUUCUAGACUCUCCUGGUGGAGCUGACGUUCCAGUGGGGACAGACAGACCGUGAGGCAUUUCUAAGACGUCAGCUGGACACAGCAAGAAGUCAGCCGUCUGCAGCCUGGAAGAAGGCUCCCACCAGAACCCAAGUGGACUUCCAGCCUCAAGGACUGUGAGAAAUUGUGUUAGCCGCUUACGCCGCCCAGCCCGAUGAUAAUUUGUUAUAGCAGCUCAGGCUAGGCCACCGAUGGUCUGCCGUUCCACACAGACACGUGCCUUCUGCUCAGUUCAUUCAAAACGCUUAUGGGUGCCUCCUCAUUCCAGGCCCACACCCCAACAUGAUGGCAUAUAUAUCUGAUUAAGAUGCAAACCCCACCCCGUGCCUCCCAGUCCACUUCGACUCGCUUCACAGACCCGGCUCAAAGUCCACAGCUCGGCCAGGUCUGGAGGGACUCUCCCUGCCGCCCCCCGAGGCACUUCGCACACCCCCUGUAUCCACAGCUUAUGCGCUUUAUACACUGUGGCUGAACGCUGUGCAAUUCUUCAUUGAUACUGCAGUUUCACUCAGCUCACGGCUCCUCCGGGCUCUAGGUUUGAUCCACUUGGAAUCCUCCCCUUCGCAAAGCCAGAGCUCAGCUAGGGUGGGAGGCUAAUAAAUAGUGGAUGCUCAAAAAUGUUCUGAAUAAAUGACUGAAACAGAGGGGGGAGUAAACAGACCAACGAGUAAACAUGUCGCUGUCUCCAGGCAAAAGACGAGUCUUAUCUGGGAAAGUGUUCCCAGCGUCAGCCCCAGGCCUGGCAGCACCACCCACGCGGCGGGCUCCUCGCACCUCUCAGCAGCCCACACACAUGCACGCUGUUUCUUUGUCUCCAGAACAG
ensembl:lncRNA